UGAUCAUGGCUCAGAUUGAACGCUGGCGGCAGGCUUAACACAUGCAAGUCGAGCGGAGAGAGGUAGCUUGCUACUGAUCUUAGCGGCGGACGGGUGAGUAAUACUUAGGAAUCUGGCUAUUAGUGGGGGACAACAUUUCGAAAGGGAUGCUAAUACCGCAUACGUCCUACGGGAGAAAGCAGGGGAUCUUCGGACCUUGCGCUAAUAGAUGAGCCUAAGUCGGAUUAGCUAGUUGGUGGGGUAAAGGCCUACCAAGGCGACGAUCUGUAGCGGGUCUGAGAGGAUGAUCCGCCACACUGGGACUGAGACACGGCCCAGACUCCUACGGGAGGCAGCAGUGGGGAAUAUUGGACAAUGGGGGGAACCCUGAUCCAGCCAUGCCGCGUGUGUGAAGAAGGCCUUAUGGUUGUAAAGCACUUUAAGCGAGGAGGAGGGUACUGGUAUUAAUACUACCAGGUACUGGACGUUACUCGCAGAAUAAGCACCGGCUAACUCUGUGCCAGCAGCCGCGGUAAUACAGAGGGUGCGAGCGUUAAUCGGAUUUACUGGGCGUAAAGCGUGCGUAGGCGGCUAAUUGAGUCGGAUGUGAAAUCC
rnacentral:rRNA from 1 species